GACAGAGGGUGCGAACGUUGUUCGGAAUUACUGGGCGUAAAGCGCGUGUAGGCUGUUCGGAAAGUCGGACGUGAAAUCCCUGGGCUCAACCCAGGAACUGCAUCCGAAACUAUCAGUCUGGAGUGGUGGAGAGGAAAGCAGAAUUCCUGGUGUAGAGGUGAAAUUCGUAGAUAUCAGGAGGAACACCGGUGGCGAAGGCGGCUUUCUGGACACUAACUGACGCUGAGACGCGAAAGCGUGGGGAGCAAACAGG
rnacentral:rRNA from 1 species